rnacentral:rRNA from 1 species
UGUCCUAUCCCCUCUUCCUUUUGCUAAGGUAGCUUAGCUUCUCCCUUUUUCCUUUCCAUUUUGCUCGCCUCCUGUGGGAAGAGCGGCGGCGGGAGCGCGAUCUCGACAGGAGCACGAGACACGGUGACACGCCGCGCCGCUGGAGCGCGCUCUGGGCCGCCUUCCCUUCGCUCCCGCACGUCGGUUCCUGCGCCCGCGCCGCUCAAGCCGCCGGCGGCUGAUGCACGACGAGACGUCCUAUGUCGGUCCAAAAAACUCACAGAUAAUAAAGAGGCCUAACGGACUUUCUACCGUAGACGACCACUUUACUGUCCUCGGUCAUACGACGCGGAAGUUACGAAAGGAUCAUUAUACCCUUUUGUUUCAGGACCAAAGUAGAGACGUUCUUUAGGAACCAACUCUUCCAGUGCUUACCAAGCUGUGACGAACCUGGAUGCCGUAGAAACGUCCGAUGGAUUUGUCUUUCCAUCACAAGAUUUAUUCGUUGGUUCCGUACGAGGAUCACGAAGUCAUAUAUCCCCGCAAUAAUCGGGUAACGAUCUCCUUAGCCAACUACUCCGCCUCAGUUCUAGUUCCUAAUAAGUGAAAAUGGCAUUUGGUGAUGAAGUUCUGUUACUCUGACUCCUCAAUGAGUUCUUUCAAGUCCGUUUUCAAAGAACAUUGUAAUAACUGUAUGUCUGACUCGUUACAAAAUUACACCUUAACCUCUUCCGUGGUCGCAGACUAUUCGAACGUUGUGAAGUCACCGAGGAACGUCUUUGAAUACUUGGACUAUUGAAUGUUUGUUCCUCGAAAAAACUCCUCCUUUAGUCAUCGUCGGGAAUAAGACAGGAACAACUCCAACCUGGCGCCUACUGUAAAAGUUGACGAAAGAGCUGGUUACGGCAGAGUUAAACAUUUCGAGAUAGUAAUUAUCUUCAUUGAGCGAACCUCUCUAGAGCUUCUAUAGAAAACGUGGAAGUCGGACCGUCACCUCUUGAACUACUUUCGGUUGAGUUGUCGAAACGACGAAACUAAGUACUGUCUUACUGUCUUACACAAAUAGGAUCGUUCGAGUGUAGUAAAACCAGUCUACAUCAAGGUCUUGGACAGUCACAAUAUGGUCAGUAACUUUCCCCUUCCCUUCGUAACCUCCUUUAUUUAUACUUUUACCCUGAACGAAAACUACUUGUUCUAUAAUUUAUGAUGUGGGUGGAGAAGUCUCUGCUGUAGUUCGCGUUAGGUUGAUGACACCUCGAAAAACUAUAUCGCGUUAGGUUAUCACUUGUGUCGUCCGUAACCAAAAAGUUGCCUUUCGAACACUAUCUACCUCUCUGGUACCGAUCAUGAAACAAGGUCAAUCAUUUCUCGGGGAACUUCCGGUUGGGAUUAUUGAGACAUUAACCAAAGUUCCUGUUGAGUUCACGUUAUUUUCCUGUGGGUCAUUUAGUAGAUGCAGGUAGUGAUGGACCGAGGUGAAGUGGCAAUAGGGAGUACUACGCACUCGAACUGUAAGACAAGUGUCGUCUUUGGGUAUUAAAAGGUACACGACACCGUGGAAUGGGUCCUCGACUUUGUCCACGACCACCAGCGUAUUCUCUGUGUGUACGGUGACCUUCUCCAAGAAAACAGCAACGAAGGUGACGACCAAUAACACAACCUUUAGAAGCUUACCUUCUUAAAAUACGUGGAACCCUCCUAAGUAGGAAAAGUAUGGGUAGCUUGAAUCGAAGAGGAAACGUCUAGGAAUAACUACGAUCACUACCACGAAGACUGAUACCAUUGUUCAAACCACUCGGAUACUAAGUCCCUAAAUGUUCUUCGAAACCAUGUUCCAACGGUUUACCCCUCGCAGCUCUCACCAAUUUCGGUUAUUACAAGUCACCUCGUUAUCCGGUCUAACUAGUACGUGUAUAUCUCUUCCCCCUAGGUCUUUAACCGUACGAUCAACACUUCUAACCACCAGGUCGUAUAUCUUAACCAUACCCACCACCACGACGGAGUUCAUACCAAUCACCUGUCUUACUGCGUCUCGAACUAAAGUUACGUCACGUCGCGCCUCUACGACUCUACAGUGUCUUUGACAUAGCACAACAGUCCCGUACACAUCUUUACCCUCUCUUCUUGGGUUAAUAGUCGUAAGUACUGGUCCCACGACCACCUUUGACGUUACAACACUUUCUUUAUUAGAUAGGAUUCCCGCGACUUUAACUAUAGGCAUUUUAACAGCAACCACUAGUAUGUAACAGACAGAACCUCUAGACCCCACGACUUAUGGUCCUUGUUCUACGUAACAACCACUUCGGACUCUCGUCUUCGGACAACCUCAGUGAAACACUCUCUCUUUCUCAAAGUUACCGACAGGAACCCCUUUAACUACCGUCACCUUUCUAACAAAACUAGCUAUCACGACGGCACCUCAUACGGUUCAACUUACUGGAAGGGGGAGGGCAGGGGCAACAACUAGAAGUCGAACUUUUCCAAAAUCCUCUAUACGGAGUCUUCUGCAAACUCAAAUUCUCUUAAAGAGCUAACCCACUCGGGAAUCUAUAACGUGGACUCCAGUGCGAUUACCUAUAAGAAUUCGCUCAUAACUUCGACGGAAGACAUACAAGUUUCGCAAAGAACUGGUGUUUCCAACUGUCCACACACUGUCCAGAACAACGUGUUGUCGUCUGUCAACCAAGAGAGGUUGAAGGUGAACGACUACAGCGACACUAACGUGUCUGUAUGUGUCUAGACUGUCCACCACGAACACGGUAACCUCUUGUUGGUUACUUCCCAAAUGAAUUAGGAUUCCGGUACCGUUCCGAACGACAACCCCUCCGGAACUGGUUAGACCAAACCCGAUUUCAAUGUAGUGAACGACUACAGUUUCGUUCACCAUUGACCUACAUACGACGUUUCGAACUGCCUCUUCCUCGUCUAUACAUACUACGGCGACAACGCAACCGACUGACGUACUAACUUGAACCAUAACGUUAACUACCACCUUUUCUGUCGGAAAGAUACCGUCGAGUUACACUACCGCUCCAUCAGUUCCGAGGACCGUUAGAACAAUAGUCACGAAUACACUGGACAGGACUAUAUUGAAACUGGCAGUGAGGUCUAAAUUUCGACCCUUUCUUACCACAGAACAACGUAUAACUAGACCGAUUUCCUUUCGCCGCCGAACCAACAAGACGAGAGUGUGUCCGUAAACUGGUUUAACCUUUACUGACGGGUCUGUAUCUUCUACAAGGAAUGAACUUCUUUCAUAAACUCCGACAAGUCCUUAACGAACCACUUGCAGAAUAAAGCCGGCCAGUACUGUAAUCACUACCACCCGAAUAACAAUGAUAAGAACUCUACCGUAAACGACCGUUGACACCACAAUUGGAGUUGUAACUGAGUUUUCUGUCACCGGAAGAUGUUCGUGAAAAACGGCUCCUCGAACCAGAACAGUAACUUCAAGUGAGUUUACUGGAACGACGACAUUUCUUUUUCGAAGUUCGUCGUCCGCAGAGACAAUUGCAUUAUCCUCUUCAUUUAUAUUGUGGUCUCUAUCUCGACCAACAACUGCUACUCUACACGGACUUACUUUCGCAAAGUCUGGAGUCCCUAAACACCCUUCUUUGCUCGAAGGUCGAACUCCUCGAUGUUGCCGACUUCAGAACACAGUUCGAACUCUUUCUUCCGAAUUUUUCGGCUUGUAGAGGAAACACCGUAGACAGAAAGUGGGGGUUGAAGUGUCUGUUCCUCGUUAACUAACGCAGUAGAUUUGGCUUUCAACGGUAGUAAGCGCUUCUUCCCUCGUUGUCACUAUCCCUUUACCGACGACGUAAGGUACGACGACCUAAACUUGGUACCCUGUAAAGAUACAGUCUGGAGAACUUAGUCUUCCGGAGAGAUCACCUCAAGGCACCCUAACGUAAACAACCGCCAAAAUCGAUACGACUGCAAGAUCUAAGCCGUUUUCCGACCCGUCGAAGAUAGUCCAAGUUGGUCGGAGAGUAUUUCGUCAAGGUCCUCAAGAUGUUGUCCGGUCUGUGUAAGUCGGAACCUCACACGUUACCGACAGUCGAGUACCGGGAAGAGCCAACCCACGGUCCUGGUCUAUAGCCUCCAAGAGAACCACGUCCACCUCUGUACCGGGUCGGUUCCAAGUAAGUGUUACUUAGACCUGCAAAACUUACGGCCAAAUGGUCACACCGGUAUCCCCUUAGAGGACGAUAUUACAAGUUUCCGUACCUUCCGAGAUGGAACCCGUAAACCCGACGAGUACCACUUCCCUCUCGGAACAAGGGUCUAUUUUUACAAAAUAGACCACAACAAUUGAGAUUAGACCGAGGAGACUCUAUAACACUACUGCGAUUGUGACGGUGGCUUCAGAUAGGAAAAUUGGGAUUACCAAGAGGAGAACCAUAGCGCCGGGAAACAAGGGGAUUGCCUUCCGUGGAACGAUACUACGGUGUGGGUCUCGCAAGGAAGUACUACACCGUUAUGGGUACCAUGGGGUUCCUUACCGUCCAACUCUUCCCACCAGGCUCAGGAACCAACGCGUACAAGGUCUUACGUGCUCUUACCACAAGUAUCUCGUCUUUUUACCACCAGCGACCACGAUGUGGCAUAGGACGGCCGUCCCUGGACCUGCCUGUAAAAGAGAAGCCCUCAACUCGCACCUAUUGGGUUAUUAGAGACAAGUCAACGAUCUCGAAGAGGGUCGUACUAAACAUCGUUAUGAUCCCGAUAGCAGUACUAAAUGUUAUUAGUGUACCAAUAAAAACUUGCACGAUAUUAUUCACCAACAGUCGCCAAUACGAGGCUGGUACCAACUUGCGAAUUAUAACUUGUGAAUUAUAGAUAUAAAACAUAUGGGCUAAAGGUGGGGAAAUCACAAGACGAAUCGAUUUCGAACACAACACGUUAGGAGAUAAGACAUCUAUCAUGGUUUU